CUAGACUCCUACGGGAGGCAGCAGUGGGGAAUAUUGCACAAUGGGGGGAACCCUGACCCAGCGACGCCGCGUGAGUGAAGAAGUAUUUCGGUAUGUAAAGCUCUAUCAGCAGGGAAGAAAGAAAUGACGGUACCUGACUAAGAAGCCCCGGCCAACUACGUGCCAGCAGCCGCGGUAAUACGUAGGGGGCAAGCGUUAUCCGGAUUUACUGGGUGUAAAGGGAGCGUAGACGGUAUGGCAAGUCUGAUGUGAAAACCCGGGGCUCAACCCCGGGACUGCAUUGGAAACUGUCGGACUAGAGUGUCGGAGAGGCAAGUGGAAUUCUUAGUGUAGCGGUGAAAUGCGUAGAUAUUAGGCGGAACACCAGUGGCGAAGGCGGCUUGCUGGACGAUGACUGACGUUGAGGCUCGAAAGCGUGGGGAGCAAACAGGAUUAGAUACCCUUGUAA
rnacentral:rRNA from 1 species